CAUUCUUCUUUAAAGCCAACCCCACGCCUUCACCAUCUUCACCAUUUUCAACAACUGCAGCCCAUUUUCCGCAGCAAGUUCACAAAGCAACCACACCACCAGACCAAGGUUGAGCUGAUGUGAUGAUGGUGCUGCAAUGAGCGGAGUCUCCAGGGUUGUUAAUAAAUAGUUAACCUGUCUAGAAUAUGUCUUCAUACAUAUGUCUAGCUACUUUCCGCUGCAAGAUGUUGUUGAUGUUAUAGUAUGUUAUGUCAUACUUUGAGUCUUAAGAGAAUGGUUUCAUAUGAUGUAUAACUUGAUUAAUGAUAUUAAUUAAGUUUUAUGUUGUCUUUCAUAGACUGUUCAAAAGAGUAUUAAUGAGUAAA